GAGAGAGUGGGAUUAGGAUGGGAGAGCAUGUGGUGGGGAAUUAAUACCGAAGAGGGACAGUUGUGCCAGCAAAUUAAAUGGGAUCUGACGACACACUGAUCAAGAAGCAAAGCCAAAGCCUCCCCAAUCCAACCUUGGGAUCUAUCAGCCAAACACAUCCUAUCCAAUUCCAGACAAUGGAGAAAGAAGUAAAGCAAUUCCAAGUCCAGUGACAACUGUGGUGCAAUUCCAUUGAUGUGCCAAGUGACAACACCAUGAGUAGAACAGAGUUCUGCUGAUGCUUGCUGAAAUGAAGCUGAUUAGUGUGGUUUUGUCGAUCCACCUGCAUCAAAGAACUCUGCGGAAGUGCAGUGUGACCAUGAAUUCAAGCUUGAAGGAGGAGUUAUGAUUUCGAGUUAGAACUUUCACUUCUUCUUCUUCUUCUUCUUGGAGCUGAGAGCCCUUUAACCAGGGACGGCGGUGUCCGUUGCAGAGGAAGCUCACUAAGCAAACCACAACCUGUAACACAACUAAUACAAUGAAAAGGUCUGCUCGCAAGUGCACCGAGGAGCUGCAGAGGUUGCUUGGAAGGGAGGAAAUAGACGCACACCGAGCUUUCGGAAAGCUUUUCCUUAUCUUGAAGAGAAACUAAGGCACUUAGAAUUGUGAUUUGAAGGUGCGUUGAAGCUUAAUGGAUGUGCGCAGGUGCCAUUAAACAAGUAUUACUCCUGCCACUGGAAUUGCUUUGGCAUGCGUCUUAGGAUAGCAGUUAUCAUAAGCCCAUUCAACAAUCCCCGUUCCGUUUGGUGGAAUUCUACAUGUCGUCCACUGACUCAUCUAAGCGUCUCCUAAAAGCUUCAGCCACAAGUCAUUUGCAGGAAGACAAAGCUGCAAGGAAGCAACCUAAUGUUCUUUAUGGAUCCAUGUAAAACCAAGAAAAUCCAUCAUGGUAAAAAUCUUGGUUUCAGUAGGUUCCACUUCUCAACACAAGUAUCAUGCUGCAUGUUAAAGAAAUGAAUCAAAAGCGACCACCAGGCA